UCAUCGAAAAGCAGUCUGUCGGCGAGACGCUUCAUUGUUUCUGGAGGAGCGGACCGAGUGACGUCAUCUCUGAGAGGAGGCGAGGAGGAGGAGGAGGAGGAGGAGGAGGAGGGUACCAGGGAGGAGAGGCUGCUGCCUGCGAGCAUCGAUGACAUCAACGAGCUCAAGAAUCUCUGGAGGCUUUUGGAAAUGGAGGCUCUGUCUGAGAACGGAAUAUGAUGCUCGAGUCUCUCCUCAAAGGCACCCUCGCGCAGGAAUACAGGAUCAGACCACUGAGGAUUAUGAAAACCAGGACAUGAAGCUCAAACACAUCUAGAAAAAAAAGAAACGAGUGCGGUGAGUAUCUGUCAUCUCUGUGUGUGUGUGUGUGCUGGAUAAUCAAAUGCCUUCAGUUCCCUCUAUUUUUGGACAUGUCGUCUCUUCUCGAGCAUUAUUUGAGCGUGUCGUGGCUCUGUAAAGUGUCUUGUUUGAACUCUGACAGGCCUGACAGCAAAGCCCAACUCCUCCUCGGUCGUUUCCUCGAGCGAAGGAAAUAAACUCAUUUUUGAGAAGCGUGUUCAUUUUACACUUUACCUUUGAUGACCUGACAGCGACGAUGCCGUCUGCAUGUUAGCUGCACAUUAGCAUGGGUUUAGUGGCACUCCUGAGAUCUCCCGCGUUGGCCGGAAGGCACGAGAUGACGUUCCGUUUGGAACUAAUAGAGCUUUGCACAGUUAAUUCGCAGCUCAUUCUGCUAGCAUAUGCCCAGUCGGGUCUUUAGCUGCUGUUUGAUGAUCCCGUGUUGAACUGUGUUUGUGGAGCGACUCAACAUCUGGUGGCACGUAAGCGGGUUGUGACCUGAGCGAAUGUCUGGACGGUUGACACGCUGUAGUGCAGGUGCGCCGGACAGAACGAUAACCCGCUCGAGGAGAUUACUGAGACUUUGUUUCACUCGGUGCUCUGAUGAUGAGGUCAAACUUGCUUCUCAACUCACCUCUGAAUUCUGUGCUGUUUUUUUUUAACAUCCCAAGUGUUACUGCUAGUCAAAAAUGAGAUUAAGUCUGGCACUCAUCUGUUCUGCUGUUAUUAUCCGAGUGUGAAAACCAGACCGUGCACGUAAAGUGGAGCCAUUGAUAUCGGAUCGCACGCAGCCCUGGAUGGGAAUAAUCGAUUUUUCAGAGUAAAUGUUGCCUUCUGGCCGUGGACGUUUUGCAGGUCUGUGCUGAAUCGGUGCAGAAAAACUCCCUCCCUCCCUGAAGACGAUGGUCCAAACUGCACUUAACAUGAAGUCAGAGAGUAAAACGCACAGUGCCUGGGAAGCUUUUCAAUAAUUAAUGGGCUCUCUCGUAAAAAAUCCAUCUCAGUGAGAGCGGAGUGAUGGUGUUGAGAUGACGUCUGUGAACAGCAGCACUUUACUCUCGUCUGUUUGAGUGCAUGUUUGUUCUCAUCAGAGUCCAGACCAGAAAAGCACUGACUGUAUUAAACACUCGUUGUAUAAUCUAUGGAAUGAGCCGCGUCUGCACGAGAUCAAAACUACACCAGAAAAACUUGCAGCGAUGAUGAUGAUGAACUUGGUUUCAUCAAGUUCAGUCAAGUGCCAUAAAUCAUUUCGCAGAUCAUUUUUACCAUAUUGUGUUUUUAUUUGUUUUCACACCAUAUAUUAAUGUAAGAUUAUUUUUAGUGCAUCUCUGUCGGAUGUUCUGCACAUUUCCACCUGUUACAGAAGCGCAUCGUGUGGCUUUAGAGUCAUUUGUAGCGAAACUACAAAAAAAUACAACUACGUAUUUUCCAGUUUACAAACCUCUAAAUCUCAAAUACUAAGAAAUGCCAUUUUCCCAUAUUCUCUUCAUAUCAAACACAGUCUGAAAAAAGAAUUUCAUAUUUGUGAAAUAUCAAGGGUUUGUGAUUUCCCAGCAUGCAUUGCAACAUGAAUAAAUGAUUUGGUUGUUUAGUCUUUAUUGCUGGUCACUUUAUUUGUUGUGUUGUGAUGUUUGUACAUGUCUUGAUUGAUUGUGUGUGUAGACUACUACAGUUAACAAUAUCUUGGAUCCAUUGGCUUUAUUGGAUGAUUGUUCCUUUACAAACAAAGACUGCAUAGUUCAGAUUAACAGAUUGAGUGUCUUAUAUAUAUGGCAAUCAAGACAAUUUAUUAAUUUAUUGUGUAACUAAAUUAAAAUAUGUAUGCUGAAUGAGCCAUUUAGUGAACAAACAAAUUCAAACUGACAAAAUAAAAGAGAGAGAGAGUGUGUGUGUGUGUGUGUGUGUGUGUGUGUGUGUGUGUGUGUGUGUGUGUGUGUGUGUGUGAGUGUGUGGUAGUGUGUGUGUGGUUGUGUGUGUGUGGUAGUGUGUAAGUGUGUGGUUUGUGUGUGUGUGUGUGUGUGUGUGUGUGUGUGUGUGUGUGUGUGUGUGUGAGAGAGAGAGUGUAUGGUAGUGUGUGUGUGUGUGUGGUUGUGUGUGUGUUUGUUUGUGUGUGU
ensembl:lncRNA